AAUGAAUGACUGAAAUGUUUGCACAAUAAAGAAUUAUUCUACGACAAUUUUUCAUAUUGUAAUGAUAUGCUACGUUGUCUCGUUAUUUUUGAACGAUAUCAAUUCAAAAAUACAUAACUUCUUGAUACAAUAAAGAUCUCACAUGAUUUGUGGCAACAAUAAAUAAAAUUGUUAUGUUAUUUUUAUUUAUUGUUUAAAAUCUUAAAUUGAGCAGGUAGCAACACGUCAAAGUUGCAGUGCCAAGUUGUUCAUCGUCAUAAGUUCACCUUAUCGCAGACCUUGCAGACAGAUCGCAGCUGUUUAUUAAAAUUUUCUACCAUUAUUUUUUAAUUUUGUUAAAUUAUUUUCUUUUACUUCGUUUAAUUUAAGUAUUGCGUUGUGUGUCGUGAACAUCGAGCUAAAGCAUCACACAGUAAGACAUUCAUUGGAGCGUUGAACAAUUUGUGACCAAAGUAGCAUCGAGGAUUGCAAAAAGGUCAAUAUAAACGGAAGUGCCAACCUCAUCAUGGACAUUACCCGGAAAUCAAUGCAGCACUGCCAAAUAGCCUCGGGAACUGCAGCUCCGAAAUGGACUGAAGGUAAUGUUGAUCUCCGACCACGGACAAAUCAUCUGCAGUGCUUGAGGAUAUGAGCGACUAGGGUGAAAUGCCCCGAAUAUUGCACGUUUGUAAACCCAUUGCUCUCCCUGGAAAAGAGAAAAAUCAUCAAUCAUAUGUUGUCAAAGAACCUAUUCUACAACCAUGGGCUAUUUCCAACUGAAACGUUCCGCUACCCACUAUCCGCAAUGAUAAAUAAUACGUCGAUAUUUAUUGUACUUUAUAAAUGACGUAAGGUUCAAGAGCUAAAUUCAACAACAGCACAACAACAGGUUGUGCAUAACCGUUGCUUCCCUGGAGUAGAUAUAUUAUCUGGUAUUCUAAACAGCACAAGCCGAUAUCUCUAUACCCUUUGGUUCUUCGGAAAAAAAUCUGUGCCCGGGAUGGGGGAAUCAGUUGAGGUAACAUUCGUUUGAACACGGGAAAGAAUAAUUCAAUGCAAAUUUUUCAAAGCGACUUAUCUGAUGGGUCUGAUGGCGAUGAAAAUGAAAUUUCAGCACAAGGCGAUACCGGUUGGAGGUAUGUACGACGACACUGUCCUGGAGCCGGUUUCACCCUCUAGCAAGUAGGCAUUCUUGGGUUCUCAUUAGGACAAUCCUUAAAUCAACUUCGAUGCGUCGAUUCACAGUACCAAAAAGUUCACGGGUGUAGCCGCGUAUAACGAUGGACGACAGCCAGUUAACGACAACAUCGCUGCCGUGAACGAUUCCGUUUGGUAGUACCUACGUCGAUAUCACCCUGACGCGGAUCCACCGGUCCCGAAUAAUCGAUAAUAAUGCCACAACAAGUCAACAGUGGCAAUCCUUAAAUCAACUUGAAUAUGUCGAUUUAUAAAGAUAUCCCGGAUAGAGCGGAUAAGUCGAUAGACGGACAUCACAUCGUAGCCGUGAACGAUUUGAAUUCAUUGAAUACAUUAUGCAAGUUGUUUGGUACAGCACGAGCUGAAUAAUUAGAAUUAGAACUAAUAAACAAAGAACUAAUCAAAAAAGAAACAAUGGCAUAAAGUAAGUACGUGUAGUAAAGUCCUGCUUCUCCAGCUGAACAUAUAUUGUUAAUUACUUAAUAAUUUAAAUAAAAAUAAGAGUGACAUUGAUUACUUGACCAAUGUAAAGUUUGAAGUUGGAUUUUGUUACAUUUACCUACUUUUUGCCAUUGUAUUCUUUAAUUAAUUUAUUUAU